UCUGGUGAUCAUAAGCGAGGUGUCCCACCCGUUCCCAUUCCGAACACGGACGUGAAAGCCUUAGCUGCCGAUGGUAGUGAGACGAUAGGUCUUGUGAGAGUAGGUUGUUGCCAGAU
rnacentral:rRNA from 1 species